AAAACGUCUGCUGAAGAAGGAACAGUCUCUUCACUCAGCAGGUCGGCCAGAAUGCGACCUCCCUAGUCAGCCAAGGCAGCACCCCAGUGGAGAGCUGUCCCUCAGGCCCCCUGGGUUGCACUUCUGUGGCUAAGUACCAGCAAACCACAUGUGAUGCUGGAUAGACUCGGCCUUAGUGACCACCGAGCUCUCGACAUGCUGUGAAAACCUGGGCUCUUGCCUACCAGCGUUCUUGGUCCUGACAUUUGCUUCUGAAAUUCCAACCCAGAAAAAGCCCUGUGUCCCUUUCCCCGACUCUUUUCCUCCGGAGGUGGUGGGGGAAUGAAAUAAGUGCUGCUUAUUUGGGAGGUUGGGAGCCAGCCUGAGUGUUUGGGGUACUUGCAAUUAGCACUGUUCUCAGAUCACAGGCCUUGACAGCAUUUACUGACAAGCACUGCUAGUGCGUGGUUUUAGUUACGGUAAUUAUUUGCCCAUUUGCAACUCAUCACGCAGUGGGUGAUUACUCUGUGCUUCAGAAAAUUGGCUGUAUGUUUGUUUUGUGAAGCCUAUGGAAUCUGUUAUUUUUAGUUCGAUUUAGCACAACUGGUCUCUUCAAAUUCCACUUUCCCUUGGCUUCAAAUGUAGAGAACUCAGCAUUCAGCAGGCAACUGUGCAGAGCCCGUUUGGGGGAAGAAUGGAAAUUCACUGCGGCGGCUGCUGAGUCGGUUCUUUU
rnacentral:lncRNA from 1 species